rnacentral:lncRNA from 1 species
UCUAGCUCUCCCCGCCUAUAUAUUUAGGUAUGCAUACUUCUUUGAUUUUGUCCAUACUUUUAAUACCGCAAUUACAUCUCUUAACUGCAUGAAAUUAUGUUAUUAUAUGUACUUCUGCUUUAUAUAUUACAGAAUUUGAAACGUACGCACAUACAUAAUUAACGUACGAUGGCGCUGAAAGGUGUGGCGGCCGCCGGUCUCUUGAUGAUCAUCGUGCUGAUCAUAGACACCGACUGCGUCGAAGCAUCCAGAAAGUUCUUCGUCGUAGACAGGAAUAAGCCUGCCAAUUCGCGACAAGUGCGAAUCGUUGGUGGCGAUGGUGGGAAGUAUAAUUACCUUGUCGAAAGACAGCUGCUGGUUAUUGAUGACAGCGAUCAUGGCGAGUCGACGAAUUAUAAGAAUGGUAAUAGUAAUCAUGAUUACAAUAAUAAUAAUAAUGGUAGUUCCAAGAACCGUGGAGGAUCGUCAAACACGGUUAACAACCACCAUUACAUCCCCCGGCAAGACUUCAACAACUACGGCGGCGGAGAUGCUGGCGGCGGGAGUGGUUAAUUAAUAUCCUCUGGCGCCCGACGACUGAAGGUUAAAUAAUAAAUAAAUUUAUACUUGUAGUGAAGUAUCAAUAUACCCUUAUUUUUGUGUUUGCUUAUUUACGUCUGUAAUAUAAAAGUACCUAUAUACCCUUAUCUAUGAAUUGUUUCAAGUUACAAUCGCUGUAAAUAUUGUGAAUAUUGUAAGGUUUGAAUUGGUAUACUGAUGUAUGUUUGUUUAUGAUUUAUCGAUUCAUUUACGAUAUUAUAUUUUCCUUCGGAAUAA